AUUGAAAUACCAGUUCCUCUACAAUCACUGAAGUUAAGCAAUGUCAAGCCUGGUCAGUACCUAGAUGGGUGACUGAUUGGGAAUACCAUGUGCUGUAAG